CAGCAGCCGCGGGAAUACGGAGGGUGCAAGCGUUAUCCGGAUUUAUUGUGUUUAAAGGGUCCGUAGGCGGAUCUGUAAGUCAGUGGUGAAAUCUCACAGCUUAACUGUGAAACUGCCAUUGAUACUGCAGGUCUUGAGUAAAUUUGAAGUGGCUGGAAUAAGUAGUGUAGCGGUGAAAUGCAUAGAUAUUACUUAGAACACCAAUUGCGAAGGCAGGUCACUAAGAUUUAACUGACGCUGAUGGACGAAAGCGUGGGGAGCGAACAGGAUUAGAUACCCCAGUAGUCCCUGUCUCUUAUAC
rnacentral:rRNA from 1 species